CUGCAGCGGCGAGGAGGGCAGGCGAGCCGCGGAGGACCCUGCGGAGCAGCUGCACAGCCGCCGCCAUUACGGGCACCAGCGCCGCAGGGCCGGCGGGGCGGGGCGGGCAGCGCACAAACACCUUGUGAGGCUGUGCACAUCCUGUUAUCUGUCGGCAUCUUAACACCCAAGGAGGAAAGACAGAUAGCAAGAGCUGAUUGAAAACAGCCAGCUCAGCGUUUUUUGGCAAAAGGUGAAAAGUACACCUUGAGGAAGACCUACGGCCUUCCUCCCAAAGACAACCGCUCACGUCCCAAGGACCCCUGCCCACAAUUCUUGGAAGAAUUUGCGCAGGCAAAGGACUGAUAAGCUAAUUAACAUACGAAGCGAGAGUAGGUGGGUUUAGGUAAUGACUAUGUAUAGGCGUUAAUUGAAUAGUCAUUGUUUUAUGGUAUAAAUAUAAGAUAGUUAGUUACUUUAGACAUGCAUGUUAGGCGGAAGGAUCCCCCAUGCAUCCAGCGCUGCCAAUAAAGGAUACUUAGUCACUAAGAAA